GUGGCGAACGGGUGAGUAACACGUGGGUAUCUGCCUCUGGGUGGGGGAUAACAGUGGGAAACUACUGCUAAUACCGCAUGACACCUGAGGGUCAAAGGCGCAAGUCGCCUGGAGAGGAGCCCGCGUACGAUUAGCUUGUUGGCGGGGUAAUGGCCCACCAAGGCUACGAUCGUUAGCUGGUCUGAGAGGAUGAUCAGCCACACUGGGACUGAGACACGGCCCAGACUCCUACGGGAGGCAGCAGUGGGGAAUAUUGGACAAUGGGCGCAAGCCUGAUCCAGCAAUGCCGCGUGAGUGAAGAAGGUCUUCGGAUUGUAAAGCUCUUUCGACGGGGACGAUGAUGACGGUACCCGUAGAAUAAGCACCGGCUAACUCUGUGCCAGCAGCCGCGGUAAUACAGAGGGUGCGAGCGUUAAUCGGAUUUACUGGGCGUAAAGCGUGCGUAGGCGGCUUUUUAAGUCGGAUGUGAAAUCCCCGAGCUUA
rnacentral:rRNA from 1 species